rnacentral:rRNA from 1 species
UAAACUAGGAUUAGAUACCCUAUUAUAUUUUAACAAUUUUAGGUAGUAAUAUUAUUUUAAUAAAACCUAUGUAAUUUGGCGGCAUUUAUUCAACUUAGAGGAACCUGUUUUUUAAUCGAUACCCCACGAUAAUUUUCACUUUUAAUUACAUCUUAUAUACCUCCAUCUUAAGGAUUAAUAUUUAUUAUUUUCCCCUAAAUAGAAUCUAACAAGUUAGGUAAAGGUGUAGAACAUAUAAAAGUUAAAAUGGGUUACAAUAAACAAAAUUUAAGGAUAAUUAACCAAAACUUAUUUUGAAAAAGGAUUUAUUAGUAAUUUAAGAAUAAUAUUCCUUUAUGAACUAGAUAUAUUAUGUGCACACA